GUAUUUAAGAAUCACGUGUUGGCUCCACCUGCAGUUGUGGCAGUAACCAUGGGAGGCGUUUGGAUUCUGAUCUUGUGUGCAGUGGCUGUUUGGCCUGAAGGAUCUUGCAUGCCACUUGACCAGACUGGAGGAAUACACCAGGAGAAGCUGAAGACUAUUAACUUCUGGUCCCAAAAUGGAAUUUCUCUGAGGAACCAAAUGGCUUAACUCCAGUCAGUGGAUUCCAUGUUGACUCAUACUUUAAAUGAAGCCCUACUGGAAACCAAUGAUGUGUCAAGUGACGCCGCCCACAAUGUGUCAAGUGACGCCGCCCACAAUGUGUCAAGUGACGCCGCCCACAAUGUGUC